rnacentral:rRNA from 1 species
AUGACCGUGACGCUCGAGGAUGUCUCGUUGAUCACCGGUCUUGCUAUCGACGGGAGGCCUCUAUGUAUGAGCACCGAUUCUGAUGGGUGGCGCGAGCAGAUGAUUGCUCUUAUCGGUAUGGCUCCUACCAAGGAGGAGGGAGAAGAGAAGAAGAAGAGGGAAAGGAAGGCAGCCGGAGCUGCUUUCACGUGGAUUCAAAAUAACUUUGCGACGUGCCAUCCGGAUGUAACUGAUGAUGUGAUCCAGACACAUGCUCGUGUGUAUAUGUGGUACAUUGUGUCGAGGACUUUGUUUCCUGACUCCACUGGCAAGAAUGCUCCAUGGAUGUGGCUGAAGGCGUUGACCGUCUUCGAUAGCAAAUGGAGCUGGGGUUCAGCGACUCUUGCCUACUUGUACCGACAGGUAGUUGGUCUGUUUUGUGAUCAACUCAUUUAUUCAUUAGCAAUGCAAGCUUGCUGUCAAGUUAACAUUGUUUUUCUUUCAUAUGUAGCUGGAUGA